ensembl:snRNA U6 U6 spliceosomal RNA
GUGCUCAGUUCAUCAGCCCAUGUACUACAAUUGGAACAAUGGAGAGAUUACCAUGGCCCUUGCACAAACGUGACGUGCAAAUUCGUGAAACAUUCCAUAGUUUU